GAAUUCACUAGUGAUUCAGGCCUAACACAUCCAAGUCGAGCGGUAGAGAGAAGCUUGCUUCUCUUGAGAGAGACGGACGGGUGAGUAAUGCCUAGGAAUCUGCCUGGUAGUGGGGGAUAACGUUCGGAAACGGACGCUAAUACCGCAUACGUCCUACGGGAGAAAGCAGGGGACCUUCGGGCCUUGCGCUAUCAGAUGAGCCUAGGUCGGAUUAGCUAGUUGGUGAGGUAAUGGCUCACCAAGGCGACGAUCCGUAACUGGUCUGAGAGGAUGAUCAGUCACACUGGAACUGAGACACGGUCCAGACUCCUACGGGAGGCAGCAGUGGGGAAUAUUGGACAAUGGGCGAAAGCCUGAUCCAGCCAAGGCGCGUGUGUGAAGAAGGUCUUCGGAUUGUA
rnacentral:rRNA from 1 species